GCCCGCCUAGCUCAAUUGGAUAGAGCAUCAGACUCCUCUAUUCUUCAAUGUAAUGAAGUGAGAUUUGAAGGCUGCGAGUUCGACCCUCGCGGCAGGCU